rnacentral:ribozyme from 12 species
UUUUUCUAAAACGUUUUUUUUUUUCCCUAGUUUUCGGGCUCUCAUUUGAAUUAUUGUCUCUGAAAGAACAAAAAGAAAAGAAGAACGAAAAGCAAAAAACAAAAGAGUAACAAAUAAAAAUCAGAGA